AGCUCUGCAGCUGAUCGUAUUGAAGAACCUAUUCCGAACACGUGUGUGACAAAUAUAAAUAGAGAUGAUGGGGGAAAAAAAGACUUCUGAAUAAUCCAUUUACUAUAGACAGACUUAGAUUUUUAUUGGCUUCAUUGAAUUAUUUACCAAGAAACUUGGCUUAGAUGAUUUUAUAGGAAAAUGUGAAGAAUAACAGAAGAUAACUGAAAUUAGAAAAUCAUAUCCUUAUAAAUCUGUCAUUUAGAUUGUACUACAUGAUGUAUCAAUUCUAGAUUUUUCUCGUGAUGCCACUUUUGAAAAAAUUAAUAUGUUUAAUAUUAUUUUCUAUUUUUCUUUAUUUGUGGAGUUUUUCAUUGAAACAUGGAAAAUUUCGAGUUUUCCAAUUAGCUGUCAUGAUAUUUCAUGUCAAAAUAAUAUCAUUAUUUUACUAAAUAGUCAAAAGAAAAUCGAUUUUAUCCAAAUAAGGAAUAUUUUCAUGCAGUUUCCUUUGUAUAUUUUAGUAUUUGCAAGGUGUUAUGAUGCAUUUGCAUUUUGUUUUACUUUUAUUAUAUAUCCUUCUAUUUUUGAAAACUCCAAAAAUUGACUUAAAUAUUCUAUAAAUUGAAUGUUUAAGUCAGCUUUUAAAAAAAUAUAUCUUAUUUUUGAACUUUUAACA